CUCCCCGCUGACGAGCGGCGGACGGGUGAGUAAUGCAUAGGAAACUGCCCAGUAGUGGGGGAUAGCCCGGGGAAACCCGGAUUAAUACCGCAUACGCCCUUUGGGGGAAAGCAGGGGAUCUUCGGACCUUGCGCUAUUGGAUGUGCCUAUGUCGGAUUAGCUAGUUGGUGGGGUAAGAGCCUACCAAGGCGACGAUCCGUAGCUGGUCUGAGAGGAUGAUCAGCCACAUCGGGACUGAGACACGGCCCGAACUCCUACGGGAGGCAGCAGUGGGGAAUAUUGGACAAUGGGGGCAACCCUGAUCCAGCCAUGCCGCGUGUGUGAAGAAGGCUUUCGGGUUGUAAAGCACUUUCAGUGAGGAGGAAAACCUUACGACUAAUACUCGUGAGGCUUGACGUUACUCACAGAAGAAGCACCGGCUAACUCCGUGCCAGCAGCCGCGGUAAUACGGAGGGUGCAAGCGUUAAUCGGAAUUACUGGGCGUAAAGCGCGCGUAGGUGGUUUGAUAAGCGAGAUGUGAAAGCCCCGGGCUCAACCUGGGAACGGCAU
rnacentral:rRNA from 1 species